UCGCCUUGUCCUCUUCGGAGCCAAUCGGAAUUCUGUUUCAUACUUUGUAAACAACACGGUUGCACGUUGUCUGCAAACUACUACGGGUAGUUGUCGCGGGCCAGGCGCCGCCAAGCCACUUCGCUCUGUCUCCAGGCAAAGGUGUAUGUUUCUUGGAGGGACCAUGGAGUGGUAAAUGAGAAGUGCUCCACCCUGUGCCCUCCUCCACCGAACUCACGCGAGCGGAUCCCCGUCCUUUCAUUGCUCGUACGUCGGCGUGUGAGCGAAUGUAGCGUUAGCCCUACGACAAAGAAGAGGCUUUUCGGCUGCGUCCUGGUUGGCUAAUCUAUGAAGCAAUGCAGUGAAAACCUCUAAAGCAGGAAUCGCCAGUGAGGCUGCUAGCUGGCAUGAUGCAUGGGUGCAUCACUGUUGGACCAGUCUACAACAGAAUUUGAACAUGAUGAAACCAGGAGAGUAUCAAGCGGUACUAUGGCAGCUGUGAAGGCACUCUGUUGUCGCUCAGUCAAUGUGCUUUGCAGUCCAACGAAACGAGUAUCUAUAUCGGACACCGGAGCUGUUUCUGGAUGGGGACUGGAUUGGUUUAGUUUGAAAGGAUCAUAUGGAGUAACCAGUGUAUGAAACAAGCUCUACAUAGUGGAAUUCCUUCAAGAAUUCUUCUGUAUCUUCAUAUUGACACCAUACUGGUUAUGUUCAGAAUCUUGACAUGAUCCGGUAUGCUGGUUAUGUAAUAAGCUUUCACAAUUUCGAAAAUCAAUCUAAUUUUUGUUUGUAACCUUAGUAUUUAUUUGAGUAUUUAUUAAUUUAAGUAACAGUUGGAGA